rnacentral:lncRNA from 1 species
AACUCUUUAUUAAAAUUAAAAGUACGAGUAACUUAAAUAAAAAACGAUCUUAAUUUGCAUAGAGAUUUUUCUAAUCUAAAAUACCACUUGCUGUGCCUAUUUGGAAGAACCGUGUAGACCUAGACUAAUGACAUCUCAGCUAAAUCCUACAUUUUACUUCCCUUUUACAAGUCUUUUAGACACCUCUUAUCUAAAGUUGUUUUGGGGAGGUGUAACCGUAUACCAGCCAUUUAUUUGCAGCUUAAGCUCAAAAUUACCAGCAGUCUUUGAGAAUCACUGAUAAAGAGCUCUCACUCUCACUGGUUGAGAUGAGGUGGUUACUUCUCCUUCGCAGUAAGGAUCCAAUCAUCUUUUCCCCAACCCGUUAUGUUCCAGUCUUUCUAACUAGGUCAUAAACUGGGGAAAAUGAGACAAUUUCAAGCCAGUCAUCUUUCUAAAAAUAAAGGUUUGUUUCCCCGGAUGAAUACAUUUUUGGUGUAAGGAGAGGAGGACCAUCCGUUCCAUCUCUCUCUAACUGCUCUUCCUCCUGGGUCCCUCUCCCCCUCCUCUCUGACGGCUCGGUCUUGGAUAUACACUAAAAGCUUUCAUUAUUAUGGGCCCUGUAGGGUUUUUCACUCCUACACAGCCGUCAUCUUUGAAAGGCCUUCUGUGAACACACGCCAUUCACAAGCUACAUCGUUGAACUGUGGUCUACGUCCCCAGUACCACUCUAUGUUCCCAGCGUUCCUCUCUGGGACGGUCCACUCAGCCCACCCCCAGGGCUAGGACAUCCUCACCCCCCUGGCUUGCUAAUCAGGGAGCCCAAGCUAUGCAAAGACAUCUUUUUCCAUUACUUCUUAACCUAUGGCCCUUGGAAAUAUUUUGGAGUGCUGGGAGACCAUUCAAAUAAUGCUCCCUUUUAACUGUCCUCUGUGCCAUGCAUCUAAAAUAUUAAUGUUCAAAGCCAAGAUAAACGAAGUCUCAGGAAACAGGUCUCCUUUGGGAGAAUUCGGGUCUUCGUUCAUUGGGGGCUUCUGUGAAAUCUGUUACCAAUAAUGCAAAGGGAAAAGUGCUCUUUGGGAUAGGAGCUGAAUAUGGGGAUUCAUGCCCUUGAAGGUCACCCUCAAUUAGACAAAGACAUUGUCAGGGGGAUUACAUUAAAAGAUACCACUUCCACCCCCUUCGUAAAGAAUUUCAAGGGCCAGAGCCCUGCUGCCUGACCAGUAGGCAGUGUAUUCGUGACACUGAUGGACAGUGCACUUGGGAGAAAUACUGAAUGAAGAAGGAAUUUUCAGAGAAGAACCUCCUCUCUGGCUUUUUUUCUUUUUUUCUAAGGAGAUUUUAUUUGUCUAUUCGAGAGAGAGGCAGAGACACAGGCAGAGGGAGAAGCAGGCUCCCUGUGAGGACUCGAUCCCAGGACCCCAGCAUCACGACCUGAGCCAAAGACAGACGCUCAACCGCUGAGCCGCCCAGGGCCCCUCCUCUCUGACUUAAUUUAAAAGUUUCUCUAGCUCUCCUGCCAUGAGAGGCUACAGCAGUGGAACAUAAAUCCUCAAGAGAAAAAGAACAGAACUGGAGUGAAAUCUCAGACUCUAAUUUCUACUUUUGCGAAUUUUUUUCCUCAGGAGAGAAACAAGCAAGAGAUGAUACUCCUUAAGUGUUAACGUUGGUGAUGUAUGUAAAUAGUGUUUUAGGAAGCCUCAGAAUAAUAGAUGGUUCUGGAAUAGCUUAGUUCUGUAAUUCCAACUUCUAUUCCCUUAGGGUGAUUUCCACAUCUGAGCCUUCUCUCAUUCCCUCCGCCCAGCUCCACCCUCCCAGUCUUGCAAUAUUCUUAAGAGAAACUGUGCCUCUGUUGAGGGGUGGGUGGGCUUUAAACUGUUGGUUCCCCCCAGGAACCUGAAAUCAACCCCCAAAAGUUCAUUCUUCCCUAAAAACUUUUGUCAAAUCCUAUGUAUUACCCCCCUCCCCCCUCCCCCAGACAGAACUGUGGUCUCUCCCACUUGCUCCCAGCUCUCUGUAAUCCCUUUUCAUGAAGUGGAGCCUUCUGAUACAGUCGGGGUCCCCUCACUCUUGCCCAAAUCUGACACCUAAUGAGAUUCAAGUUUCAUUUCUCAGGCACGGGAUCCCCCAAAUCUCUCACGAGCGGUAAACUCACAGCGAAAGGCCUGGCCAGGAAAACAGGCUCUCACUACAGACGCACAUAUAUCCAUCCUUAAACUUUUAAGUUGGAAACAUUUCCUGGAACCAUGUCUGGGUGCAAAACCAUGGGAAUGCUCAACACUAACACAUAGUUUUCCGAACCUAUAAUUAAGGCAUCGAAAGGUCAGAGGGUCUAGAGGAGAGCAUCCCGACGCUGAGAUUGUCCUUGUCAACCUUAGUUUUAGGAACCUCCUCCUGCGUGCCCUCAGAAUGGAUCAUGUUGCCCAAGAAACCACUUUUCUCCAAAAACCCCUCAAGGCAUCUGACUUCGAUUUAGAAAACCACUGCCAGAGAGCAGUUUGAACUCAUCGUUCAUUGUUUGAUUAUGUCAAAGCCUGCGUGUGAGUCAUUCCGCCAAUGUCUUACCUUCUCGGACUUUGUUUGUGGGUGAUUUGAAGACAAAGACUUUUCUGGAACCAGCCAUGUUCCCCCCACCCCACCCCAUACCUGGGCAAAUAUUUGGCCCUCCAGAUGUGUACCUCCCCUGCUUCCCAUGCUUUCCCGUGUUUUCUAUUAUGCAAGGCAGCUUUCCAAUCUAAUAUUUAUAUCAUCCUUUACAGUCUACACAGUGUUUUCACAACCGUAUUCCCAUUAGAUCUUUAGAACCUCAUUGUGAGAGAGGCGUGCACAGUGGCUCUUCUGCGGAUGCAGGAGCCGGGGCGAGCCUGGAGCAGGGACGUCCGCGAGCCCAGCGGCCCUGCCAGUGCCCCACGCCUUGGGGCCUCCAAGACAGAGCUGUUUCCAAGCUCAGACUUCUCACAAGCUAGACAGCCUCUGGGGUAAAGCAACUGGAUGUACUUCUGUCCUCAGAAAAGUGUAAAUAAAAACCCGAAGUGUC